GACGUAGGGCGCGAGCGUUGUCCGGAUUUAUUGGGCGUAAAGAGCUCGUAGGCGGCUCGGUAAGUCGGGUGUGAAAACUCGGGGCUCAACCCCGAGACGCCACUCGAUACUGCCAUGGCUAGAGUCCGGUAGGGGAGCGUGGAAUUCCUGGUGUAGCGGUGAAAUGCGCAGAUAUCAGGGGGGAACACCGGUGGCGAAGGCGGCGCUCUGGGCCGGAACUGACGCUGAGGAGCGAAAGCGUGGGGAGCAAACAGG
rnacentral:rRNA from 1 species